rnacentral:rRNA from 1 species
GAUGAACGCUGGCGGCGUGCCUAAUACAUGCAAGUCGAGCGAACAGACGAGGAGCUUGCUCCUCUGACGUUAGCGGCGGACGGGUGAGUAACACGUGGAUAACCUACCUAUAAGACUGGGAUAACUUCGGGAAACCGGAGCUAAUACCGGAUAAUAUAUUGAACCGCAUGGUUCAAUAGUGAAAGACGGUUUUGCUGUCACUUAUAGAUGGAUCCGCGCCGCAUUAGAUAGUUGGUAAGGAAACGGCUUACCAAGGCAACGAUGCGUAGCCGACCUGAGAGGGUGAUCGGCCACACUGGAACUGAGACACGGUCCAGACUCCUACGGGAGGCAGCAGUAGGGAAUCUUCCGCAAUGGGCGAAAGCCUGACGGAGCAACGCCGCGUGAGUGAUGAAGGUCUUCGGAUCGUAAAACUCUGUUAUUAGGGAAGAACAAAUGUGUAAGUAACUAUGCACGUCUUGACGGUACCUAAUCAGAAAGCCACGGCUAACUACGUG